GACGAACCGUGCGAACGUUAUUCGGAAUCACUGGGCUUAAAGAGCGUGUAGGCGGCCACGCAGGUCCGUUGUGAAAACUGGAGGCUCAACUUCCAGCCGUCGACGGAAACCGUGUGGCUAGAGUCCGGAAGAGGAGAGUGGAAUUCCUGGUGUAGCGGUGAAAUGCGCAGAUAUCAGGAGGAACACCGGUGGCGAAGGCGGGUCUCUGGGCCGAUACUGACGCUGAGGAGCGAAAGCGUGGGGAGCGAACAGG
rnacentral:rRNA from 1 species